GUGGGGAAUAUUGGUCAAUGGGCGCAAGCCUGAACCAGCCAUGCCGCGUGCAGGAAGACGGUCCUAUGGAUUGUAAACUGCUUUUAUUUGGGAAUAAACUCCGGUACGUGUACCGGCCUGAAGGUACCAAAUGAAUAAGCACCGGCUAACUCCGUGCCAGCAGCCGCGGUAAUACGGAGGGUGCAAGCGUUAUCCGGAAUCAUUGGGUUUAAAGGGUCCGCAGGCGGUCUUAUAAGUCAGUGGUGAAAGCCUACAGCUCAACUGUAGAACUGCCAUUGAUACUGUAGGACUUGAAUUCGAUCGAAGUGGGCGGAAUGUGACAUGUAGCGGUGAAAUGCUUAGAUAUGUCACAGAACACCGAUAGCGAAGGCAGCUCACUAGGUCUGGAUUGACGCUCAGGGACGAAAGCGUGGGGAGCAAACAGGAUUAGAAACCCGAGUAGUCC
rnacentral:rRNA from 1 species